UACAGAGGUCUCGAGCGUUGUUCGGAUUCAUUGGGCGUAAAGGGUGCGUAGGUGGCGUGGUAAGUCUGGUGUGAAAUCCCGGGGCUCAACCCCGGAACUGCACUGGAUACUGCCAUGCUUGAGUACUGGAGAGGAGAUUGGAAUUUACGGUGUAGCAGUGAAAUGCGUAGAUAUCGUAAGGAAGACCAGUGGCGAAGGCGACUUCCUGGCCUGUUCUUGACGCUGAGGCGCGAAAGCUAGGGGAGCAAACGGG
rnacentral:rRNA from 1 species